rnacentral:rRNA from 1 species
UGGGGAAUAUUGGACAAUGGGCGCAAGCCUGAUCCAGCCAUGCCGCGUGAGUGACGAAGGCCUUAGGGUUGUAAAGCUCUUUUGGCGGGGAAGAUAAUGACGGUACCCGCAGAAUAAGCUCCGGCUAACUUCGUGCCAGCAGCCGCGGUAAUACGAAGGGAGCUAGCGUUGUUCGGAAUCACUGGGCGUAAAGCGCACGUAGGUGGGCAGUUAAGUCAGGGGUGAAAGCCCGAGGCUCAACCUCGGAAUUGCCUCUGAUACUGGCUGUCUAGAGUUCGAGAGAGGUGAGUGGAAUUCCUAGUGUAGAGGUGAAAUUCGUAGAUAUUAGGAAGAACACCGGUGGCGAAGGCGGCUCACUGGACGUGUAUUGACGCUGAGGUACGAAAGCGUGGGGAGCGAACGGGAUUAGAUACCCAAGUAGUCCCUGAGCGGGCUGGCAAGGCGCAU